rnacentral:rRNA from 1 species
GGUGAACGUUGGCGGUGCGUCUAAUACAUGCAAGUCGAGCGACUCUUCGAGAGGAGCGGCGGACGGCUGAGUAACACGUUGGUAACCUACCCCCUACUCAGGGAUAACAUCAAGAAAUUGAUGCUAAUACCGGAUGGUCCCGUAAGGGUAAAGUAUUUUUCGGUAGGGGAGGUGCCUGCGGCCUAUCAGCUUGUUGGUGAGGUAAAAGCUCACCAAGGCUAUGACGGGUAGCUGGUCUGAGAGGAUGACCAGCCAGAGGGAGACUGAGACACGGCUCCC